UAGGCUUUGCAAUCUGAGCAUACCGGCUGAAACGCUGGAAUUUUUUGACAGAUGUGAAACACCGAUUCACACUGGCACCAUCCGACCGUCAAAAAGCAGCUGAUGAGCAUAAAACUACAGAGUUUUGGUCUGACUUUUGAAAUUUUCACAUAUGCCCCGCAAGCUGAGCACUUCCCGGGGAACGGUGGGAUAUUUUUAAAGAUGUGAAACUCCGAUUCACACUGGCGCUAUCCACCAUCCAACACCUAGCAUCCAUAAUAUAUGGUAUACAAUGUGUCAUCACUCUGGGGCCUUCGGGGUCAAUAAUUACGAAUUUGAAGUCAGAAGAAGAAGAAGAAACGAAUUGGCGCAACCAAUAAUGCCGGAUUCACUUAAAAUCCCAAAGGCCCCCGAGUACGUGUGGUAGCUUGGUAUUGAUUACUAUUUUGCAGACAUUAAAAAAACGAACAAUACACACAUGUCGAAAUGGACUGCAGAUAUGUAAAAACAGACUAUAAACAUCUGGCAUAAAAAUACUGUGGAUUUGAGGGAGUUUAUAAAUAAUUCCAAUAAUUAUAAAGAAUUUGAUAUAUA
rnacentral:sRNA from 1 species